ACGGGCAGCAGUGGGGAAUAUUGCACAAUGGGGGGAACCCUGAUGCAGCGACGCCGCGUGAGUGAAGAAGUAUUUCGGUAUGUAAAGCUCUAUCAGCAGGGAAGAGAAUGACGGUACCUGACUAAGAAGCACCGGCUAAAUACGUGCCAGCAGCCGCGGUAAUACGUAUGGUGCAAGCGUUAUCCGGAUUUACUGGGUGUAAAGGGAGCGCAGGUGGCCUGGCAAGCCAGAAGUGAAAGCCCGGGGCUUAACCCCGGGACUGCUUUUGGAACUGUUGGGCUGGAGUGCAGGAGGGGCAAGCGGAAUUCCUGGUGUAGCGGUGAAAUGCGUAGAUAUCAGGAGGAACACCGGUGGCGAAGGCGGCUUGCUGGACUGUAACUGACACUGAGGCUCGAAAGCGUGGGGAGCAAACAGGAUUAGAUACCCUGGUA
rnacentral:rRNA from 1 species